CACUAAUUGACCAAGCAUUUAAGUGGUGAAUAUGUCUCGGCAUUUGCCAGUUCGUUGCGUAUGCUUUACUGCAUCCUGGGAUACUCCACUACUGUGUGGGCUAAGUCGACACCCGGGCAAAGACCGUGGCCAUGGCAUUUGAGACCCUUUCCGAGACUGGGCCUUGACUUUGUGUCUGGUGACUGAGGUUUGACAGGAAGACGAAGAAAGUGGAGACAUCUCUGAUGAGUAGGAAACUCACACACUCAUGACGAAUGAGUGAAAUGCGCAUCUUGGUGACUGCGACAGAAGCAAAACCUCAAGAACACUUGCCCCUUUCGAGUAGACAAAGUCGUCUAUAUAACAAAGAACAGGGCAACGGGUGUCCUUGAACCAUUGGUGGUGGCAGUGUGAUAGUCUGGGGCUGAAUUCUGCUGGGCACCAGAAUAUCCUGAAGGAGAACAUCCAACCAUCAGUUCAUGCCCUCAAACUCAAGCGCUCUUGGAUCAUGCAGUAGGACAAUGAUCCGAAACACACCAAGUCCACCUCUGAAUGGUUAAAAAAAAAAAAAAGCCUUUCUGAGCAGCCAAGUCAAAGUCCUGAUUUAAAUAAGAGAUGCUGCAGUGUAACUUUAAACAAGCAGUGCAUGCUCGAAAACCCUCCAAUAUUUCAGAGUUGAAACAAUUUUACUAAGAAAAGUGGGACAGAAUUCCUCCAGAGCGAUGUGAAAGAUUCAUCACAAUUAUCGUAAAUGCUUGACUUCAGUUAUUAAUGCCAAGGGUGGCACAACCUGUGAUUCGGUUUAGGAGACAAUUACUUUUUCACAGAUGCUCAGAAAAAUUUGGAUUUUUUUUUUGUGCCCGAAUAAAUGUAAUUGUCAUUUGAAAAUGGCAUUUUGUAUUUCCUUGGAUUGUCUCUAAGUGAUAUCAAAAUUGGUUUGAUGAUUUGAUUCCUUUGUGUGUGUAAUAAAAAAACAGAUCAGAAAAAAAAAGCGACUGCACCCUGCCCAGUCCUAAUAUAUGCAUUCUUUCAAAUGAUUUGUUGGUACAACUCUUUAAAAGCAUUUUCCUUUCUUUGCUGUUACAGUAAUCUCACUGUGUAAAAAUGGGAUCAACCCUCUCACCUGCAGUUUUCCUCGAAUGCUGUACUUUGUUAAUGUUGUAUUGUUGUGUAGCUAGGAUCACAUCACAGUACCUUAUUGAUAAGAACACCAAAAACAAUGCUACAACAAUGUAUCCUCUAAAUAACAUACUGCAUAUCCUUGCU